GGUUAAGCGAAUAAGCGUACACGGUGGAUGCCUAGGCAAUCAGAGGCGAUGAAGGACGUGCUAAUCUGCGAAAAGCGUCGGUAAGGUGAUAUGAACCGUUAUACCCGACGAUAUCCGAAUGGGGAAACCCAGUAUCCAAUGGAUACUAUCAUUAACUGAAUCCAUAGGUUAAUGAGGCGAACCGGGAGAACUGAAACAUCUCAGUACCCCGAGGAAAAGAAAUCAACCGAGAUUCCCCUAGUAGCGGCGAGCGAACGGGGAGCAGCCCAGAGUCUUAAUCAAUAGCAGUGUCAGGAGAACGGUCUGGAAAGUCCGGCAGUAAAGGGUGAUAGCCCCGUAUCUGAAGAUGCUGUUAUUGUGAACUCGACGAGUAGGGCGGGACACGUGUUAUCCUGUCUGAAUAUGGGGGGACCAUCCUCCAAGGCUAAAUACUCCUGAUUGACCGAUAGUGAACCAGUACCGUGAGGGAAAGGCGAAAAGAACCCCGGCGAGGGGAGUGAAAAAGAACCUGAAACCGUGUACGUACAAGCAGUAGGAGCCUCUUUAUGGGGUGACUGCGUACCUUUUGUAUAAUGGGUCAGCGACUUAUAUUCUGUAGCAAGGUUAACCGUAUAGGGGAGCCGUAGGGAAACCGAGUCUUAACUGGGCGAAUGAGUUGCAGGGUAUAGACCCGAAACCCGGUGAUCUAUCCAUGGGCAGGUUGAAGGUUGGGUAACACUAACUGGAGGACCGAACCGACUAAUGUUGAAAAAUUAGCGGAUGACUUGUGGAUGGGGGUGAAAGGCCAAUCAAACCGGGAGAUAGCUGGUUCUCCCCGAAAGCUAUUUAGGUAGCGCCUCGUGAAUUCAUCUUCGGGGGUAGAGCACUGUUUCGACUAGGGGGUCAUCCCGACUUACCAACUCGAUGCAAACUGCGAAUACCGAAGAAUGUUAUCACGGGAGACACACGGCGGGUGCUAACGUCCGUCGUGAAGAGGGAAACAACCCAGACCGCCAGCUAAGGUCCCAAAGUCAUGGUUAAGUGGGAAACGAAGUGGGAAGGCUCAGACAGCCAGGAUGUUGGCUUAGAAGCAGCCAUCAUUUAAAGAAAGCGUAAUAGCUCACUGGUCGAGUCGGCCCGCGCGGAAGAUGUAACGGGGCUAAACCAUGCACCGAAGCUGCGGCAGCGA
rnacentral:rRNA from 1 species